GGGGCCGAUCCGGAUUCGACGUGGGUCGCGAAACAACUCAGGGCAUGCCGAGCACCAGUUCGCUCGUUAAACCACUGGAAACACUACAAACGCCAACGACGAGCGUUUCGCUCUCGCCGCUUAAGCGGUGAGCCGCUGCACCGAUCUGUCCUUGGGUCGGGCAGAGGAGAGGCAACUUUCCUAAGGAUCCCUGUCUAGGGCCAUAACCC
rnacentral:tmRNA from 1 species